CAAAAACAAAACAAAAAAUAAAUAAAUAAAACCACGAAAGUGGUCACAAAGAAUAAAGAUUUUCUGAUGAAGGCCCUUUUGGAAAUAUUAUGUGUUAUCAUUCUUGCAUGUGUAUAGAUUAUUGAUCUUACCAUAGCAGUCUUAUAUUACUAUAGAUUAUUGUGAUUUUCAUUUAGAAGUGUUGGCCUCUCACUGUCUGUGUUAAAACUUUUGACUGCUGUGUUGAAGACUCUCACACUGAUAACAGUCCUCCGCCCUCAGGAGAAAUCGCUCCCCAGGCAAAAGACAAGAUGACCUUGUGUGUGUAGAACUUGCUGAUAACUUGUCUCUUCUGUCUAUCCCUCCCUUCUCUGAAAAUAAAAGACAAGCUCUAACUGGAAGUUAUCAGAACGCGCUGUGGGAAGCUCACUGGAGCAGUCCGCUGCGUCUUGUCCUUUCAUGAAAGCUUGGCAGAGAGGACGCACUGAAAACCUUGCAUGGCCAGAGUCAACAAGACCUGGAAACAAAGACCUGGGAGGCAAAAUUCUUCGCUGGGCCAGCGCCUAUGUCCGACUUUGUCUGCUAACGGCAGAUUGACGAGAUUCGACCGGAUGAUACGAACCAACAGAAACGUAAGUGAGAAAAGUGCUAUAAUUAGAGGUUGGAGUCCUUGUCAAACGACGUUUUGACUAAAGUCCCAGAGGGUUAGAGUCCCAGUUGACAGAGUUUAACUAAUGCCCUUGUUGACAGCAUUUUGACUAAAGUUCUACAGAAGGUAAGGUUUCAUCUCUUGAUGAGGACACCCCAUAAGGGAAGAUCCUCGCAUUGAGAGGAAAUUAUUUAUUGUUGCUGUUUCUUUGCUUUGUCGUUGCCGUUUUGUUGGUUGUGUGUAUGUGCAUGCAAGUGUGAGUGGUGCUUAAUUCUCUGAAAGUAAAACUUUCUGUUCUCAGAACUCUUCAGGAGACACAAAGUGCUCAUCUGAUCAAAAUACCAAGUCAUAUUAAGUUAAAAAUCACAUAGUACUAAAAUUAUGGGAAGAUUGUGGUGUUUUUGUUCUUUUUUUCUCACCUAAAGAAACAAAGUAACUAUCUAAGGGAAGAUAGUGGGUGUUUUGUUUGUUUGUUUUUUUUGCAUUUCUACACUUUCAAAGAAAGAAAACAGUUGAGAGAUUUCUCACUGAAGUAAAAAACAUGGGAACAACGUUUUGCAUGCUCAAAAGGGAAAUAUGCCUUUCCUGAAGGAGGAGAAGCUGAAAUAUGGUAAAACUAAAUAAUAAACAUUCUCCUCAGAGAACAAUGUUUUAAUGUAUUGUGUCAUAAUUAGAUUAUAACAUCAACUUGGUGAAAUGAUCCUUUGGCUGUAAACCUGGAGGGGUCAGCGGUCAUAGUAAGGUACCGACCUGGACAUUAUCCAGCCUCAUAUCUCUCUUAGGCCUUGAGAGGAGGGCUGCCCGCUGUCUCCACACCUUUCAGCACUGAGAUCAACAAAUUUAGAGUAAUCCAUUGUUCUCUGGUGAGACGUGACUCAGACAACAUAAACUUACAUUCUACACUUUAAAAUGUAAUAUUGUAAAGGAUAAAAGAGACUACAGACUUUAACAUGUUUCAUGUCUAUAUGUGUUUGAAUAAGGAAAUGAUUUAUGACUUCUAAAAUGUUGGGUAAUAAGUGGCUAAGAACUAUACGAUCACAAGAAGGAAAAGAUAUAUAGAAAAAUACUUAUAUAAAAACACAGAAAGACAAACAAACCCUAGCUUACUCCUAUUUGCUCCUUCCCUUUUCCGCUGUCUGAACCUCGCUGCGGUCCGUCUGACCUCUGACCUCAACUCAGACCUGUCCUGCCGUGGAUCAAAUGACGCCCCUCCCUCCUCACCAGCCAAUCACAGUGAUAAAGAAACGGAAAAGUAGAAGGAAGAUUUCUACCACCUGGGCACUGAAGGCACUGAAGUGUCCACUGAUCCUAAUUCCUUGACAUCAGGGAACUUCAUAGAUCAUGAAGUAUUUGUCUGCAUUUAACUCAAACAUUCAAUUUAGAAUUUAAUUCUUUAAAGAAUCUACAGAUUGAUUGAAAUUGGUUUUGUGUUUCUGUUAUUGUCACUUUUCAUGUUGGUAUGAAUGAAUAUUAUUAUGAGAACAGACAAACUGUACUCAAGAAUUGAGUAACGGAUAAGAUUAUUAACCAUUUAAUUUUAAAACUCACAUUGUCAGCUCGUCUGAAAUGCAAGGUUAAAUGAAAUAAAGUAUAAAGUUACUCAAAACUGAUGAUUGUAAAUAAAAGCAACAUCUUCUAGACUUCGGUAAAACCUGUAAUCUAGAUUUGAUUGAUUGAUGAUCAUUAAAUUCAUAAAGAAAUAUUGAAUUAGAGGAUUUGAGAGACCACUCCCAUCGAGCCAGCUGACUGGGUCUACAUUAAAGUCAUCAAACGAAAGAACUGGGCCAGUCCACGGUGGGAAGGACCGUUCCAGGUGCUGAUGACCACACCAACAGCUGUAAAGAUUGCUGAAAGACCCAGCUGAAUACAUCUCAGUCACUGCAAGCUGCAGAGAGUGUUGGAGCACUAAUUCAGGGUAGCGGGGAAGGCUGGCUUCACAGGGUUUCCAAACCAUAGGGUGGUUCGUCUCAAUGCUCGUGAAGAAACCGACAGAUCCCUCCCUUCAGUGAAGCUCCCUUUAACAGGAACUGGUGGAACUAUUUCUGACGCUCCACAUGAGCUGGAGGAACUUAAACAUUACGUGGAAAGUGGAACGCAUGGAUCACAUCCUUUUGACUUUUUUUCUUGGCUCAGUUCUGGAAACUGGUGGAACCUACUGUUGAAAUUUGGAACACCUAUUCUGGGUGUUCUGAUCCUUUUUUGCCCGUUUACAAGUUGCAUUAUUCCAUGCCUUUGAGGCAUGAUGCAAAAGACAUUCAACACCGCUGUGAUCAGCAAUCAGCUGGUGAGAACAACCUCUGACACACAUGAGUUCAACUUGUUCGAUAUGGAUGAAGACGCGCUGAAAAGUGGAUUAUAUGACGAUGUUCUGUAAUCAGUAAACAGACUAAAUAAUUUG